CAAGAAGUGGGUCCUCAUCAGCCACCACAUGGAAUCUGCUGGCUCCAUGAUCUUGGACUCCAGAACUGUGAGAAAUAAAUGUCUGUUGCUUUUAAGCCUCCCAGUCUAUGGUAUUUUGUUAUAGCAGCCUGAAUAGACUAAGACAACCCCCUGUGUGGGCAGGACCUAUGGCUUGUUUCUAAUCAACAGAAUACAGCAAAGAUGGUGGGAUGUCACUUCUGUGAUUACGUUACGUAAGAUAGGCAUUUCCAUCUUGCUUGAAGACUUCUCCCUUUCUGGCUUUGAUGAGGCCAGCUGUCAUGCUGUGAGCUGCCCCGUGGGGAUGUCCACAUGGCAGGAACUGAGGGUAGCCUCCAGCCAAUAGCUAGUAAGAAACUGAGGCCCUCGGUCCAACAUCUCCAAGGAACUGAACGUGCCAACAACCAUGUGAUCUUAGAAGAAGACCUUUCUCCAGUCCAGCCUUGAGAUGAGACUGCAGCCCCAGCCAACACCCUGACUACAGCUUUCUGAGAGACCCUGAAGCAGAGGACCCAGCAACUCACCGAAGGUCAGCAAGAACUGAACAACACAGUUCAAUAUCCCAACAUUUUUCUACCCAGUCGCCUAAAUCACCCCUUCCAACGUUGUUUGAUUUUUUAACAUGGGAAUGCUUUGAGCAUGUUUAAAUAAUGAAUAAGAUCCAGAAGAGCAGAAAAGAUUGAAGGUACCGUGUUGUGGCAGAAAUAAAUAUGAAUGAGACGUGCACUGUCCUGAAGGAGCUCACAGAUUAGUGGCGAGAUAAACACGGAGAACUUCUAGCCCCUGAUCCUGUGAUAAGGGAAGUACCUUCAAGGAGACAUAGACUCCAGACCAGCAUCUGACAACCACUGAUGA